rnacentral:lncRNA from 1 species
UGUUCCUCCAGGACACAAGCAAAAGAAAGCAAGCAAGCAAGAAAGAAAUCCGAUGGAGAAAUUGUAGAAACAAGAACAGUCUAUAAAAAUCAUGGCCUUGAAGGCUCAGUGAAGCUUAGUUUUUUGAAGCAAAUAGCAGGAAGACAAAGAAAAAGGAAAUGACCCAAAGCCCACUGGUGGAAGGUGAGUAAAUGAAUCGGUGCACUCAUCAGUGGGACGGGACCCUGGGGCUCUACAAGGACUCCUGCAAGGGCGGGCAGCAGAGGUCAGGGCCGCUGGUGUCAGGGUAAGUGCACUGUGAGCUGCACGUGAGUAAGGUGUUUAGUAACCAUGCUGCAUGAAGAAAACUCCGGAUGAAACUACCUUCCUGCAUUUUAUCAACCCAACAAGAAAUCAGCAUGAAAUACCUUGAGGUGUUUACAUUCUCAGCUUGCCUCUGCACCCACUUUCUGAGUUCAGACCCCAAUGUUUCAACAAACUUCUCAAUCAGUUUGACACAUACAAAGCAGAUUCACAUAUUUGCUUCAAAUAUACCUAAAAAUUUUCCAAGAAAUAUGCCAAUUAUGGCUUUCUAUCAGGGCAUCACAAGUGCUGACUGGCCACAGGCACUGGACAUCCCAGUUCUUGUUUUGGGUGGUGGCGGGGAUGGAACCUGGGAUCUUGGGAAUACCAAACGCAGGCUCCACCUCUGAGCCACGCCCCCGCCCCUAUGUCACAGUCUACAGCUUGACCCCGGUGGUUGACUGAAUGAGUGUGUUCACCUUGCACACGCUCACCCUGUGCACCUGAUUCUGGUUUAUUCCCGAGAGCAUGCACAUGGGGCCAGGACCUCGAGUUCUUAUGUGUGGCACUAUUUGCUCUCAUAAACAUCUGUAUUUUGACAUUCUCUUCAUUCUAUACAAAAAAAAUCAAGCCUUCAAAUGUCCAGUUUUUGCUGUGUUCGGUAAUAAAAUGAAUUCUGUCCAUUAGUGGAGGUUUACCCCAGGGAUGUAAUGGCCAAGUUAUCUCACCCAAGGAAGCAGGCCGGGAUGGGAGAACUCCUAACGGACAGUUCAGUGGUUUUAUGAUGACAGAUGUUUCGUCUGCUGUGUAAAAGGCUUUUGAGAACAUAACAGCUGCUCUUGUUUUUAGGGCUUUUCUCAAGAACAGUUGAUUCUCUCAACUCUGUAAAGCCUGGCAAUAUGCCCCACUUUCCUCGUGGAGAAACUGAGGCAGAGAGAGGUCAAGGAACUGUCCAGCAUCCUGAAGGAGCCUGCAGGAUGCUGCCCAGGCACUGGCUUGAGCUGCUGCUAUGGUGAAGGGAGGCCCGGGCACACCUGCUGAACCUUUUCCUGGGCACCGUGACAUCAGUCAAUCGUGUGCCCUGAAAUGUUCAUUGGCACAUCAACAUCUUCUCCACUUUCUGUAAAUAUUUAAGUGCAAUGGACACAGGAGUAAAGUAAAUAGGAACACAGUGAUUCUGUUUCCCUGCCAUGCUCUGCGAUCAGUCAGUUCCAAAGAGACCUCACGGAAAUUCAAACAACUCCUGAGCCUCAGCCCUGCCUGAGCACCCGGCCUCUGAUUUCUCUCCACCUGGCUCUCCUCGGGCGGUCACCGCACGGAGCACGGCAGGUGCAAGACCUGGCCACACACGGCCUCCUGCCUGUCCACCUCUCUCCAUCGAGGCUGGAGUCCAGGUCACUCUACUUCUUCCCUCUGUUGAAGACGAUGGUUGACCUGUUUGUGGCUGAACAAAAAUUGCCUCCCUCUGUUUGCAAACUAAUUCCUAGAGAAGAUCCUAAAGUCUUCCUCCUGUCUGCUUUCACAGGGUGGGCGAAACCAGGAUUUCCAGACCCACACCGUGACGGUCAGGACCAGUUCAGUCAAAGUGAUCAUAAUCAGUGACAAAUAAGAAAUAAGAAUAAACACACACACACACACACACUCACACACACACGCUCAAAAACCAGUGGUACUCAGAAACCACUUAUUCAAUUACUAUAACGUGCAUUCUCCAAAUAAUUUUCCUCUGGUUCCUCAGGGCAGAGAGGAGUUUCCCAGUGUGGGGAUGAGACCUAAGCCUAGGUUCUGGUGGGCCUGUUGGAGCCCAUCCGCCUGCACUGCCUUCUUUGCGGGAUGUGUGUGAACACAGUCUCUGGCCCUCAGCAUUUGCGACUAAGAUUACUUUUCAAAAAUAAACUCAACGAUAGAUGAUAGAUUCUGCCCAAUUCACAUCCACCUUGCCACCCUGAUUUGGUCACAUCUAUCGUGCAUUCACACUGUCCCUGAAGACCGGUGCUGGGACUGGUGGAGGGCCCACAUGAACUUGGGCAAAGUCCAAGUUCAUGUGGGCCCUCCCAGACACCCCAACUGAACAGUGUCAGGGGAACACCGGUGACAGCAGCUGGGGGCUGGCUGUCGACUGCACCAGGGACGAAUGAGUGGCUGCUGGCUGACUCCACAGAAGGAAAUCCAUCCCUUUCAAGCAUAUUUCCAAACAAAUCCUGGAUUACGUGGAUGCUUGAGAACUAGAAGUGAAAAUACUUUUUUAU